ACCAACUCAGCCAAUGUGUCAGUUGACCAAACUAUCUGAGCGAGCCAGGGAAGAUCAGCAAAAGAACCACCCGGCUGAACCCAGCCCAAACUGCAGGCCCUCAGAAUGGUGAGCUGAGCCACAACUGUCCUUCUAACCUCUCAAGUUUUGUAUACCACAAAACUGAUAUUCAAUGUGAUAUGUAAACAUUCCCUCUCCCCGGAAAAGGUGUUCUAUCUAAAAACAUUCUACACCUAGAUC
rnacentral:lncRNA from 1 species